rnacentral:rRNA from 1 species
UACGUAGGGGGCAAGCGUUGUCCGGAUUUAUUGGGCGUAAAGAGCGUGUAGGCGGCCUGACAGGUCAGCUGUGAAAACUCGAGGCUCAACCUCGAGACGUCGGUUGAAACCAUCUGGCUAGAGUCCGGAAGAGGAGUGUGGAAUUCCCGGUGUAGAGGUGAAAUGCGCAGAUAUCGGGAAGAACACCCGUGGCGAAGGCGGCUCUCUGGGACGGUACUGACGCUGAGACGCGAAAGCGUGGGGAGCGAACAGG